rnacentral:rRNA from 1 species
GCUCAGGAUGAACGCUGGCGGCGUGCUUAACACAUGCAAGUCGAACGGGAAUUACUUUAUUGAAACUUCGGUCGAUUUAAUUUAAUUCUAGUGGCGGACGGGUGAGUAACGCGUGGGUAACCUGCCUUAUACAGGGGGAUAACAGUCAGAAAUGGCUGCUAAUACCGCAUAAGCGCACAGAGCUGCAUGGCUCAGUGUGAAAAACUCCGGUGGUAUAAGAUGGACCCGCGUUGGAUUAGCUGGUUGGUGGGGUAACGGCCCACCAAGGCGACGAUCCAUAGCCGGCCUGAGAGGGUGAACGGCCACAUUGGGACUGAGACACGGUCCAGACUCCUACGGGAGGCAGCAGUA